rnacentral:rRNA from 1 species
CAGUGGGGAAUCUUAGACAAUGGGCGCAAGCCUGAUCUAGCCAUGCCGCGUGAGCGAUGAAGGCCUUAGGGUUGUAAAGCUCUUUCAGCGAGGAAGAUAAUGACUGUACUCGCAGAAGAAGCCCCGGCUAACUCCGUGCCAGCAGCCGCGGUAAUACGGAGGGGGCUAGCGUUGUUCGGAAUUACUGGGCGUAAAGCGCACGUAGGCGGACUGGAAAGUCAGGGGUGAAAUCCCGGGGCUCAACCCCGGAACUGCCUUUGAAACUCCCAGUCUUGAGGUCGAGAGAGGUGAGUGGAAUUCCGAGUGUAGAGGUGAAAUUCGUAGAUAUUCGGAGGAACACCAGUGGCGAAGGCGGCUCACUGGCUCGAUACUGACGCUGAGGUGCGAAAGCGUGGGGAGCAAACAGGAUUAGA